UACGUAGGGUCCAAGCGUUAAUCGGAAUUACUGGGCGUAAAGCGUGCGCAGGCGGUUCUGAAAGUCAGCUGUGAAAGCCCCGGGCUUAACCUGGGAAUUGCGGUUGAAACUACAGGGCUAGAAUCUGGCAGAGGGGGGUGGAAUUCCACGUGUAGCGGUGAAAUGCGUAGAUAUCUGGAGGAACACCGGUGGCGAAGGCGGCAUCCUGGACCGGUAUUGACGCUGAGGCGCGAAAGCCAGGGGAGCAAACGGG
rnacentral:rRNA from 1 species